rnacentral:rRNA from 1 species
CCUACGGGAGGCAGCAGUGGGGAAUAUUGGACAAUGGGCGAAAGCCUGAUCCAGCCAUGCCGCGUGAGUGAAGAAGGCCUUCGGGUUGUAAAGCUCUUUCGACGGGGACGAUGAUGACGGUACCCGUAUAAGAAGCCCCGGCAAACUUCGUGCCAGCAGCCGCGGUAAUACGAAGGGGGCUAGCGUUGUUCGGAAUUACUGGGCGUAAAGCGAACGUAGGCGGUGUUCCAUGUCAGAGGUGAAAGCCUGGGGCUCAACUCCAGAAUUGCCUUUGAAACGGGAACGCUUGAGUCCGAGAGAGGAUGGCGGAAUUCCUAGUGUAGAGGUGAAAUUCGUAGAUAUUAGGAAGAACACCAGUGGCGAAGGCGGCCAUCUGGCUCGGUACUGACGCUCAGGUUCGAAAGCGUGGGGAGCAAACAGGAUUAGAUACCCGUGUAGUC